rnacentral:rRNA from 1 species
CACGUAGGGUGCAAGCGUUGUCCGGAAUUAUUGGGCGUAAAGAGCUCGUAGGCGGUGUGUCGCGUCGGCCGUGAAAACCUGCAGCUUAACUGUGGGCUUGCGGUCGAUACGGGCAUCACUGGAGUUCGGCAGGGGAGACUGGAAUUCCUGGUGUAGCGGUGAAAUGCGCAGAUAUCAGGAGGAACACCGGUGGCGAAGGCGGGACUCUGGGCCGAUACUGACGCUGAGGAGCGAAAGCGUGGGGAGCAAACAGG